rnacentral:rRNA from 1 species
UACGUAGGCAGCGAGCGUUGUUCGGAAUUACUGGGCGUAAAGAGUGUGUAGGCGGUGCUCCCAGUCUGUUGUGAAAUCUCCCGGCUUAACUGGGAGGGUGCGGCGGAAACUAGAGUGCUAGAGGGUGGGAGAGGUAAGCGGAAUUCCUGGUGUAGCGGUGAAAUGCGUAGAUAUCAGGAGGAACACCUGUGGUGUAGACAGCUUACUGGACCACUUCUGACGCUGAGACACGAAAGCGUGGGUAGCAAACAGG